UACGAAGGGGGCUAGCGUUGCUCGGAAUCACUGGGCGUAAAGCGCACGUAGGUGGGUCGUUAAGUCGGGGGUGAAAUCCUGGAGCUCAACUCCAGAACUGCCUUCGAUACUGGCGAUCUUCGAGUCCGGGAGAGGUGAGUGGGAACUGCGAGUGUAGAGGUGAAAUUCGUAGAUAUUCGCAAGAACACCAGUGGCGAAGGCGGCUCACUGGUCCGGUACUGACGGCUGAGGUGCGAAAGCGUGGGGAGCGAACAGG
rnacentral:rRNA from 1 species